rnacentral:rRNA from 1 species
CCCUUGGAUGUUCUGGGCUGCACGCGCGCUACACUGAAGCUAUCAACACGUUUUCCCUCCCUGAGAAGGGCGGGUAACCUUUUGAAUCAGCUUCGUGGUAGGGAUCGGGGCUUGCAAUUGUUCCCCGUGAACCAGGAAUUCCUAGUAGACGCGAGUCAUAAGCUCGCAUCGAUUAAGUCCCUGCCCUUUGUACACACCGCCCGUCGCUACUACCGAUUGAACGUUUUAGUGAGGCAUUUGGACCGACGCAUCUCAGUUUAACCGCUGGUUUGUGUUGGAAAGACUUCCAAACUUGAGCGUUUAGAGGAAGUAAAAGUCGUAACA